rnacentral:rRNA from 5 species
CGAGUCUUAACCGGGCGUUAAGUUGCAGGGUAUAGACCCGAAACCCGGUGAUCUAGCCAUGGGCAGGUUGAAGGUUGGGUAACACUAACUGGAGGACCGAACCGACUAAUGUUGAAAAAUUAGCGGAUGACCUGUGGCUGGGGGUGAAAGGCCAAUCAAACCGGGAGAUAGCUGGUUCUCCCCGAAAGCUAUUUAGGUAGCGCCUCGUGAAUUCAUCUCCGGGGGUAGAGCACUGUUUCGGCUAGGGGGCCAUCCCGGCUUACCAACCCGAUGCAAACUGCGAAUACCGGAGAAUGUUAUCACGGGAGACACACGGCGGGUGCUAACGUCCGUCGUGAAGAGGGAAACAACCCAGACCGCCAGCUAAGGUCCCAAAGUCAUGGUUAAGUGGGAAACGAUGUGGGAAGGCCCAGACAGCCAGGAUGUUGGCUUAGAAGCAGCCAUCAUUUAAAGAAAGCGUAAUAGCUCACUGGUCGAGUCGGCCUGCGCGGAAGAUGUAACGGGGCUAAACCAU